GUCCUCCUCUUGUCUUGUGCCAGAGUAUAUCAUCUCGCUACGUACCUCCAGCCUUGUACCAAGUUUGAUAACCCUAACAGCUAUAGGCUAUGAGGAGCUAGAAGCUACACGCUCAUGUCGUUCCUCCGUGGCUUCCCUCAGAGACACUGGCGGUCACCACACCCCUCCGACUUUCAGGUAUUGCGUACAGUGGGAUCAACAGGCUCGAUCGUUUUUACCCAGUAAAAGAGG